rnacentral:rRNA from 1 species
CGUGUAGGCGGGAUCUUAUGUCAGUGGUGAAAUUUUCUCGCUCAACGGGAAAACUGCCGCCGAAACUGAGAUUCUUGAGGGCAGGAGAGGAGAGUGGAAUUGCUGGUGUAGCGGUGAAAUGUGUAGAUAUCAGCAAGAACACCCGUGGCGAAAGCGGCUCUCUGGACUGCUCCUGACGCUGAGACGCGAAAGCCGAGGGGAGCGAACG